ACUCCUACGGGAGGCAGCAGUGGGGAAUAUUGCACAAUGGGCGCAAGCCUGAUGCAGCCAUGCCGCGUGUAUGAAGAAGGCCUUCGGGUUGUAAAGUACUUUCAGCAGUGAGGAAGGUGGGUAUGUUAAUAGCAUACUCAUUUGACGUUAGCUGCAGAAGAAGCACCGGCUAACUCCGUGCCAGCAGCCGCGGUAAUACGGAGAGUGCGAGCGUUAAUCGGAAUUACUGGGCGUAAAGCGCAUGCAGGUGGUUUGUUAAGUCAGAUGUGAAAGCCCGGGGCUCAACCUCGGAAUUGCAUUUGAAACUGGCAAACUAGAGUACUGUAGAGGGGGUAGAAUUUCAGGUGUAGCGGUGAAAUGCGUAGAGAUCUGAAGGAAUACCGGUGCGAAGGCGGCCCCCUGGACAGAUACUGACACUCAGAUGCGAAGCGUGGGGAGCAAACAGGAUUAGAUACCCUGGUA
rnacentral:rRNA from 1 species